ensembl:lincRNA coiled-coil domain containing 102B
UACAAACUAGAGGUAAAGAAAUGGAUUAUUCAUUCAGGUUUUGAUAAAAAGUUAUUUAGUUUGAAGCACAAAGCGAAGUAAAGAUAACAAAAAGGCCUCUAUAUUGAGAGACAGAGGGAGUCAUACAUCAUUACAUAAAAUUGGGAUUAACUUUCGUCAGAAUACUUCCCACAGCUUAGCAGUGUCGUUGGAAAGCCAUUCCACCCCUCCACACUGCACCAGAGGCCGGAGAGCUCUCUCAGAAGGCCAUGGAGACUGAAGCUAACAACUUCUGCCAGCAGGACUGAGGCCUUAAAAGAAAAAUUCAAAUUUAGAUUCCAUUCAUCAAUUAAUUGAGGAAUCACAAAUAUUCUAGAUGCAGCAGUCAUCAAUUAAACCACGCAGUGACAAGGUAGUCCCUACCUCCUUUCCCAAGGAUCCCAUUCAUUCCGAUUUUCCACGUUAUGGACUGCAAUCUACUGCCCGCCACAGUUACGGUGCGCACUCAUUCAGCACCAACAGCUGGGAUAUCCAUGAAGAGCGUCAGCUUUGGGAACUUGAAGAAGUCAAGGCUAGAGCCGCUCAGAUGGAAAAGACUAUGCGAUGGUGGUCAGACUGCACUGCCAACUGGAGAGAAAAAUGGAGUAAAGUUCGAGCAGAAAGGAACAGUGCCAGGGAGGAAGGAAGACAACUCAGAAUAAAAUUAGAGAUGACAGUGAAGGAGUUGAAUGAACUUAAAAAGAAACAAAGUCUGUCACUUCAGAGGAAGGCAUCACAAGCUAACGUCACCCAGGACCUGGAGUUUCCUACUAUUAUAAACAUGGCCUACGACAAUAGAGCUCCAUUUCAAACUACUUCACAAAUGCAUGAAUUUACUGGAGAGUGUUUGAUGGAAAGACAGUUUCCUACAGAGAAGGCAAACGAUAAGAUCAUUGGUUCUGGAAACGGUGCUGUGGUCCCUGGACUCAGGCUGCAAGUGAUAAAUCUGCCUUUGGAGGAGGAAGGAACUAAAAUCUCAGCUCUGCAGAUCCAUUUGAACGAGUUCCAGCAAUCUUUGUGGAAAGAAAGAGAAAUGCGUACAGCUUUGGAAAAAGAAUUAGAACAAAUGGCGUCUGCUUUGUCUCUGUGGAAACGGAAGUAUGACGACCUGAGAGGAUCGAAGGCAUCAGAUGGGAAAGAGUUUGGCAUUCGUCAUGGUCUACGUGAAAAUGAAAUGGAACGAAUAGCAGGAGAUACAAAGGAAGAACAUAAUUCUCAAAACAACAACGAUAGAGUCAUCUUUGAGUUAAGAUCAGAGCUAGAGAGACUGCAAGCUGAAAAUACCUCAGGGUGGAACAACACAAAAUUACUUGCAACAGAAAAGCAAGGACUGGAGAGAGAAAAUAGAAGACUAAAAGUCCAGUUGAAAGAAAUGGAAGAGCUCCUGGAUAGGAAAAACAGAUUAAGUGCAAAUUUUAAAGAUCCUGACUUGAAGACAUCACAGAUUGAACUGCAAGAAAAGAACAAGGUCUGGUGUUCUUGGAAGCGCCUGUUCUCUUACUGUGUGUUUUCUUCUGAGGCCUAGGUGGAUGCUGCUUUCACCUUUGUCCACCUCCAAAUCUGAAUAUUGCUUUUUUGGGCUAACGUCUGAUGGCUAGCUCUUUUCUCUGUUGUCAUAAAAAUAACAUUGCUCAUGUAUCUGAAACAGAGUGUAGCAAAUUUUGGAUGAAAAUGUGAGAGUAUGAUAAAGGAAGAAAAGACAAAUCUUGUUUUGUUUUGUUUUCCAUUAUAGCUUUGUGUUAGCAGUUUUCAAACUAUUAUCUUAUUUCCAGUAAAUGUGCUUAUCUAGUAAUUUGAGCACCUACACAGCAGCAUUUAUUGGUACCUAUGAUAAGUAUUUACAUAAACACUUAAAUUUACCUGAGGUUUACUGUUCUCUGAUUCCCUUUUUGUCUGAGAAUCAUUAUUUUGAGUGAAUUGUGUCUUAUUUUUUUGCAAAGAGAUGUUAUAAUUAUAGCAAAACUAAGACAACCAAGAUUAAUAAAAUUAACUUGGGCAAAUUUAAAUUGUUUGCAUAUUUUCCCUUUAAGCCAAUAGAGAUGGGGCUGUAGAUGGGAACAUUUUUCUUUCUUAAAUAAAUAAUUUACAGAUUUUAAAAUGUACUUUCAGUGACAGAUAAUGUUAUAAUUUGUAUAGUUUACUAUAAAUAGGCUAUAAUAUAUAUACACUUUGUUUCCAAAUUCUUCCAUUAAAGUAUCUACCAUAUUUGAAUGUAUAAUUCUAUUUUUUCAAUUUAUUUUAACAACUUUAAAAGUGACUGAUAAUUUCAUAGUUGUGAAUUGUGUACAUUGUUCAUACUAAUACAAGCUCUAACAGCCAAAUGGCCAAAAAAUUAAUUCAAUAUCACUUUUCCUAACUCUUUUAUGAAUUUCAGGGUGUAUCACAAAUGCAGGAUGAAAAUGCAUUAGUGCAUCAUGACUUGACAAUAGAAAUGUCUAAAGUUAAAUGUCAAAGUCAGUGAUCCCAGUUCUGUAUUGUAUAGAUUCAUCAUCGGUUCUAAUGCUGUAUUUCGUUCUGAAAUAUAUGCAACUCACAAAUCUGCAGAGAAAAUUUUUCUUCAUUUCUAAAUAGAAUUAUCUCAACUGUGGAAUGUAGUUUGAUUAUGAAAAUAUACUUUUCUCCUUGAUUCAUUCAGAACAAGCGUGUAUUUAUGUCAUUUUUCUGUCAGCAACUAGUCUCCAUGCUAAUAGUGGGAAGAUGAAUGGCUCAUCAACCCUGCGGGACCUGGGCUUGCAGUCUACACAGACAGUUGCACAUGCAGAUUACAACCAAUAGCACACUGAGAUGAUUCUUAAGAGUGACGUAGAAUGUGAACACAGAUGAAGAGGUAGUUCAUUCUUCUUAAUUUUUCGACCUUUCUAGUUAUAUCAAAAUGUCAGGAAGUAAGGCAUAUCAGUCAGGGAAUAUAAUGGCUGUUUGGAGCUGCCAUAGGUGACAUUGGCAUCCUGUCAUUAAGGUAGAUGCAGGUGAAACCUGCUCUCCUUGGGACUGCUGUGGUUAUUUGUUCUAUAAUGAGGCGUAACUUGGAAACUGUAGGAUUCUGGAAAGUCUAGCCAAUCGGUCAGGCUGUUCAGCAGUCAGAAGAUUGGAAGAUUCUCUAAAUGUUUAUCAGUUUAAUGCUGACUGGGAAUAUUUGUUAUUUUUAUCCACUUCACUAAGAAUACAGAUUCCUGAAACCAACCUAAUGACUUACUAUGUAGCUGAUACAGGUCAAAACCCUAAUACCACAAAAUCUCAGAAUGUCAAGAUUCAGAUGCUCCCAGAUGCCAAACAAAUCACCAUGUGCAAAAAAUGUAAAAAUCCAGGGAAUAAGAUAGAUUUUAUCAUAAUUGGAAUCUCAAAACAUGAUUGGAGUUUUAACAUCAUACAUAUAUAUGAUAUUGUGCAUAUAUAUACACUAUAAAUAUAUAUAUACACACUAUAAAUAUAUAUACUUAUAUGCCUUAUAUGAGUAUCAAUUCUCUCUUGUGUUUUCUGUCUCUAUAUCUUUCUCUGUAUAUAUUUGUGUAAGUAUGUGUGUACUAUAUAUGAGAAGCACAUAUAGAAAUAGGUAUAUACAUACCAUAUAUGUGUACUGUGUCUAUAUACGCCUACAUAUGCAUAUAAAUAUUCUACCUGAGUGACUUUGGGCACAGCAUAGACACUACUGUAACCAUCACUCACUAAUUCCUAUUUAAAGGGAAAUAUGAUCUCUUACCAUAUAAUAUUUAUAUCUAGUCACAUUUACCAAAAAUUUGUAGCAGACACAAAACUAUUUGCUACUUAAGGCAUUUUAAUAAUGUCUUAGAUUUAAUAACACUGUUCAAUAUAUUUUUAUAAAUCCUCACUAAUACAGUGAGGAUCUUUUACUUUAUUUGUUUAACUUCCAUGCUACAGAGAAUGUAUUCUUAAAAAAUGAACGUCAAUUUUAAAUUGCAGUUAUUCAAAAGCAAAGAUUACUUUUACAUGAGUGAUCCUAUCAAUUUAAUCUCCAUCCAGUACUUACAUUUAUAUAUUCAGGCAUAUGUAUACAUUAAUCUUUUGUAACUUAAGAAAAACAGCAAUACAUCUGAUCUUUUUGUGGUAUGUUAGAAAAUUAUCACUUGAGUAGUAACUAUUUGAAAGCAUAAAUCACUAUCAUAGGCUUUUCUAGAAUAAUCUCUGCAUGUAGACCUUAUAAUUUCUUGUAGCUUCUGGAAAUAGUGACCCUGUUGCAUGGUUCUAUGGCAUUAGUGUUUUUCACAAAAAAAUGGCAUCAGACAAGAGAACUUCAGUGUUAGUACUUGUCAGAAUAUAGCCCUCAUUUUACUUAUUUAUUUAUUUAUUUAUUUUUCCUGUUCCCAGACUUGAGCUCAAGACCUCACGCUUGCCAGGCAGGUGCUGUGCCCCUGAGGUAAAUCCCUAGCCCCCUAGCCCUCAUUUUAAAUGAUGGCAAAGACAUUUCAAAAUUAGCUUUAUAAAAACAUAAUUAAAUCACAGUAUAUAUUUUCAUGCAAUUAUAAAUAUGUACUUAAAGCUCUUACUGUACAGCGAUUAGUAAAUUAUGUCCUUGGUAUAUAAUUAUUAGGAUGUAUACUUUACCCAACUUUUUAGAAAUCAGUCUGUAUUUAGGAACAUACAUGAAUAGAACUUUUAGAAUAAAAAUGAUACAGAGUUUCAAAACAAGAUGACAGGAAAUUAACAAUAGUUAUUAUAUUCCAUAUUGUUUUCUUCAAAGUAGUUGUUCAGAUUACCAGACAGGUAUGCAAAAUUGAUCAAACAAUAUGACUAACUGUUCCUUUCAAUGAACUAAUAAAAAUUAGUAGUACAAUUAUCUUAGCUAUCUUGUGUGUGUGUAUACAUAUA